rnacentral:rRNA from 1 species
GACGAACGCUGGCGGCGUGCCUAAUACAUGCAAGUCGAGCGCAGGAAAUCGACGGAACCCUUCGGGGGGAAGUCGACGGAAUGAGCGGCGGACGGUUGAGUAACACGUAAAGAACCUGCCCUCAGGUCUGGGAUAACCACGAGAAAUCGGGGCUAAUACCGGAUGGGUCAUCGGACCGCAUGGUCCGAGGAUGAAAGGCGCUUCGGCGUCGCCUGGGGAUGGCUUUGCGGGGCAUUAGCUAGUUGGUGGGGUAAUGGCCCACCAAGGCGACGAUGCAUAGCCGACCUGAGAGGGUGAUCGGCCACACUGGGACUGAGACACGGCCCAGACUCCGACGGGAGGCAGCAGUAGGGAAUCUUCCACAAUGGACGAAAGUCUGAUGGAGCAACGCCGCGUGAACGAUGAAGGCCUUCGGGUCGUAAAGUUCUGUUGUAAGGGAAGAACAAGUGCCGCAGGCAAUGGCGGCACCUUGACGGUACCUUGCGAGAAAGCCACGGCUAACUACGUGCCAGCCGCCGCAGUAA